rnacentral:rRNA from 1 species
CCUACGGGUCGCAGCAGUGGGGAAUAUUGGACAAUGGGCGAAAGCCUGAUCCAGCCAUGCCGCGUGUGUGAAGAAGGCCUUCGGGUUGUAAAGCACUUUCAGUGGGGAAGAAAGCCUUGGGGCUAAUACCCUCGAGGAAGGACAUCACCCACAGAAGAAGCACCGGCUAACUCCGUGCCAGCAGCCGCGGUAAUACGGAGGGUGCGAGCGUUAAUCGGAAUUACUGGGCGUACAGCGCGCGUAGGCGGUCUGAUAAGCCGGUUGUGAAAGCCCCGGGCUCAACCUGGGAACGGCAUCCGGAACUGUCAGGCUAGAGUGCAGGAGAGGAAGGUAGAAUUCCCGGUGUAGCGGUGAAAUGCGUAGAGAUCGGGAGGAAUACCAGUGGCGAAGGCGGCCUUCUGGACUGACACUGACGCUGAGGUGCGAAAGCGUGGGUAGCAAACAGGAUUAGAUACCCGUGUAGUC